GGGACCUAAGCUGAGGCCGAAAGGCGUAGGUGAUGGACAACAGGUUGAUAUUCCUGUACUACCGAUAACCGUUUGAGAGAUGGGAUGACACAGUAGGAUAAGCUAAGCACACUGUUGGUUAUGUGUGACCAAGCAUUGAGGCAGUCAAAGUAGGCAAAUCCGCUUUGAUAAUGCUGGGAUGUGAUGGGGAGCGAAAUUUAGUAGCGAA
rnacentral:rRNA from 1 species